GACGAACGCUGGCGGCGUGCUUAACACAUGCAAGUCGAACGGAAAGACCCUGCUUUGGUGGGGUGCUCGAGGUGCGAACGGGUGAGUAACACGUGAGUAACCUGCCCUUGACUGUGGGAUAACUUCAGGAAACUGGGGCUAAUACCGGAUAGGAGCUCCUGCUGCAUGGUGGGGGUGGGUAAGUUUCGGCGGUUGGUGAUGGACUCGCGGCUUAUCAGCUUGUUGGUGGGGUAGUGGCUUACCAAGGCUUUGACGGGUAGCAGGCCUGAGAGGGUGACCGGACCAAUUGGGACUGAGAUGCGGCACAGACUACUACCGGACGCAACAGUGCGGAAGAUUGUACAAUGGGCGGAAGCCUGAUGUAGCAAAGCCGCGUGCGGGAUGACGGCCUUCGGGUUGUAAAGCGAAUUCGCCUGUGACGAAGCGUGAGUGACGGUAAUGGGUAAAGAAGCACCGGCUAACUACGUG
rnacentral:rRNA from 1 species